CGGGGCGCGCUGGCGCCGGGGACCCUCGCUCCGGACCCCCGCCGGGUUCCCCAGAGGCUUCCACGACCGCGCACCAGGGUUAGUCAAGUGAAGCAGUGCAAGUGGAGAAGGAACAAAGAAAUCUGUAACUGGUUGUGUUCAAUGAAUUGUAUAUUCAUCACUUAUUUAACAUUUGAUUGCACCCCAAAAGAUGAUUUCAUGAACAAAUUUAUAUGAUACAAUCUAGGAGUUUCAUUCAGAGAAUAAAAGAGUGAUUAUAGAACUUU